AUCUUAGAAGACCUAGCGCAUGAAAUUAAUGCAUCUGUUGGUGUGAAGAUGCAUAAGUUAGGUGUUUGUGAGUGGGAGGUGAAACUUUGGGUGUCAUCUGCAGGAGAUGCAACUGGUGCUUGGAGGAUUUUGGUUGCAAAUGUGACAGGUCACACCUGCAUUGUUCAUAUUUAUCGAGAAGUUGAAGAUACAAGAAAACAAAGAG
rnacentral:misc_RNA from 1 species